rnacentral:rRNA from 1 species
GACGAACGCUAGCGGCGUGCCUAAGAAAUGCAAGUCGAGCGAGGUUGAGGAGCUUGCUCCGAAAGCCUAGCGGCGAACGGUCGCGUAACACGUAAGCAACCUGCCCUGAAGUGGGGGAUAGUCUUCCGAAAGGAAGCUUAAUACCGCAUGUGGCCACUGGUUCGCAUGGACCGGUGUCUAAAGCAGCAAUGCGCUUCAGGAUGGGCUUGCGGCCUAUCAGCUAGUUGGUGUGGGUAACGGCUCACCAAGGCGACAACGGGUAGCUGGUCUGAGAGGAUGGUCAGCCGGACUGGGACUGAGAUACGGCCCAGACUCCUACGGGAGGCUG